CCUACGGGGGACAGCAGUGGGGAAUAUUGCACAAUGGGGGAAACCCUGAUGCAGCGACGCCGCGUGAGCGAUGAAGUAUUUCGGUAUGUAAAGCUCUAUCAGCAGGGAAGAAAAUGACGGUACCUGACUAAGAAGCCCCGACUAACUACGUGCCAGCAGCCGCGGUAAUACGUAGGGGGCAAGCGUUAUCCGGAUUUACUGGGUGUAAAGGGAGCGUAGGCGGGAAAGCAAGUUGAAUGUUUAAGGUACGGGCUCAACCUGUACAAGCGUUCAAAACUGUUUUUCUUGAGUGGAGUAGAGGUAAGCGGAAUUCCUAGUGUAGCGGUGAAAUGCGUAAAUAUUAGGAGGAACACCAGUGGCGAAGGCGGCUUACUGGGCUUUAACUGACGCUGAGGCUCGAAAGCGUGGGUAGCAAACAGGAUUAGAUACCCUUGUAGUC
rnacentral:rRNA from 1 species